AGGGCGUACGGCGGAUGCCUUGGCCAUAUCAGCCGAAGAAGGACGCGAUAAGCUGCGAUAAGCUGCGGUGAGGUGCAAGUAACCUUUGACCCGCAGGUCUCCGAAUGGGGAAACCCGGCAGCAGUAGUGCUGUCAUCCUCUAUGAGGAAGGGCACCCGGUGAACUGAAACAUCUAAGUAGCCGGAGGAAAAGGAAUCAACAGAGAUACCCCUAGUAGCGGCGAGCGAACGGGGCAGAGCCCAAACCGGAAUGGGAAACCAAUCCGGGGUUGUGGACUGCUAUCAAAUGCAUGAGUGAAGCAGAAUGAGCUGGGAAGCUCAGCCAGAGAGAGUGAGAGCCUCGUAGGCGUAAGCAAGUGCAUGGAGCAGGAUCCAGAGUACCACGGGACACGAGAAACCCUGUGGGAAGCUGGGGGGACCACCCUCCAAGGCGAAACACUGAUAUGGACCGAUAGCGCAUAGUACCGUGAGGGAAAGGUGAAAAGAACCCCGGGAGGGGAAUGAAAGAGAACCUGAAACCGUAUGUCUACAAGCAGUCGAAGACCUUUAUAUGGUCGACGGCGUGCCUAUUGAAGAAUGAACCGGCGAGUUACUUCAGCUAGCGAGGUUAAGCGGAAAACGUGGAGCCGAAGCGAAAGCGAGUCUGAACAGGGCGUAUAGUUAGUUGGAGUAGACCCGAAACCACAGUGAUCUACCCAUGUCCAGGUUGAAGCACAGGUAAAAAUGUGUGGAGGACCGAACCAGUGAGCGUUGAAAAGCUUUUGGAUGAGAUGUGGGUAGGGGUGAAAUGCCAAUCGAACGUGGAGAUAGCUGGUUCUCCCCGAAAUAGCUUUAGGGUUAGCCUCAUGGCGAGAGUACAGGCGGUAGAGCACUGAACGGGGUAGGGGCCUAUCCGGCUACUGAACCUAAUCAAACUGCGAAUGGCUGUACUUAUCCAUGGGAGUCAGACUGUGAGUAAUAAGGCCCAUAGUCAAGAGGGAAACAGCCCAGACCAACAGCUAAGGUCCCCAAUGCCGUACUAAGUGGCGAAGGAUGUGGAAUUUCGAAAACAACCAGGAUGUUGGCUCAGAAGCAGCCACCAUUAAAAGAGUGCGUAAUAGCUCACUGGUCGAGAGACUCUGCGCCGAAGAUGUCCGGGGCUAAAGUACGGAACCGAAGCUUUGGCAAUUGACAUUAGUCAAUUGGGUAGGGGAGCGUUCCUGCAUGGGAGAAGCCUGACCGGAAGGACAGGUGGACAGGCAGGAAGAGAGAAUGCCGGUAUGAGUAGCGAAAAGAAGGGUGAGAAUCCCUUCCACCGAAAGCCUAAGGGUUCCUGGGCAACGAUCGUCGUCCCAGGGUAAGUCGGGACCUAAUCCGAGGCGGAGACGCGUAGGAGAUGGACAACAGGUUGAAAUUCCUGUACUGGCUGAGGCCGUUUGAGCGAAGGAGUGACACAGGAAGGAAGGCGCGCGUGCGAUUGGAAGAGCACGUCCAAGCAGGUAGGUUGGGAGACAGGCAAAUCCGUUUCCCGAGAGGCCGAGAUGCGAUGGGGAGCUUCUGGAGACAGAAGCGAAGGGGCUGGCACUAAACUGUCGAGAAAAGCUUCUAGUGAGGACUCAGGCACCCGUACCGAAACCGACACAGGUAGGCAGGAUGAGAAUUCUAAGGUGCGCGGGAAAACCCUCGUUAAGGAACUCGGCAAAAUAUAUCCGUAACUUCGGGAAAAGGGUAACCCAGCGUACGUGAAGUGCAGAAGCGCACGGAGCGGAGAUGGGUGGCAGAAGAGAGGCCCAAGCGACUGUUUACCACAAACACAGGCGUCUGCUAAAGCGAAAGCUGAUGUAUAGAUGCUGACACCUGCCCGGUGCUGGAAGGUUAAGAGGAAGUGUUAGCGCAAGCGAAGCAGUGAAUUGAAGCCCCAGUAAACGGCGGCCGUAACUAUAACGGUCCUAAGGUAGCGAAAUUCCUUGUCGGGUAAGUUCCGACCCGCACGAAAGGUGUAACGAUUUGGGCACUGUCUCAACGAGGGACCCGGUGAAAUUGAAGUACCUGUGAAGAUGCAGGUUACCCGCGACUGGACAGAAAGACCCCAUGGAGCUUUACUGUAACCUGAGAUUGGAUUCCGGUAAGAGAUGUACAGGAUAGUUGGGAGGCUUAGAUGCAAGUACGCCAGUAUUUGCGGAGCCGCUGGUGGGAUACCAACCUUGUUUUAUUGGAAUUCUAACGAGAAGCGUAACGAGCUUGCGGACAGUCUCAGGCGGGCAGUUUGACUGGGGCGGUCGCCUCCGAAAGAGUAACG
rnacentral:rRNA from 1 species